CUCACCCUUCUGCUCCAGGAGUCACCUGCUUCUCUCCAGCCAAUUCAGGAGCAUCAUCCUCUUCUGAUGACCCAGCACUGGAGGAUUCCUCAUCACUGUCUGCAAGACAAUACGCCCUUGGCCUGAAACUGAAAGAAUGCAAUUUCCAGAAUCCAAGAUGGAAUAAGGCCAUCAACGUCACACUGAGAAGAGGGAAGAAGUAAAGUAAGAAUAAUAAAGAAGUUCUGCUCUUAGGGUACAAAAUAUCACACAGUAGCAACUAAUUCCUGGGCUUCAGCUAUGGAAGAAUUUAUGCACACAACCACACAAAUUCAAAUCUUUUAAACGGAUUAAUAUCCAGGAAGGAUACAGUGAACAGUAUUCACAGAUCUCCACCUAAUGCAAGAGCUUGAAACCGUUACACAAACUUCAAAAGCACAUUUUUGGCCCUAGGGACUAUACUCAGCAUUCAAAUACUAUACAACCUGUUCAGAAUACAAGUUAUUGCUGUGUCUUGUCGUUGUUGUUCACUUUUGGGGGAUUUUUAGGUGUGUGUUUGGCUUUUUUGCAUGCUCUAGAAGACUUGAAACGUUUAAUAACCUCACACAUGGACCAAGGCUGCUGUCUGCUAUUCUCUGCACAGAACAAACUGUUAGUUACUGCAUGAAGUCCUAAUGUAAAAGGACAGAUCAAAUGCAGCUCACCAGUGCACAGCACUGCUUUCUAACUGCCUACUUAAGAACGAAAGCAGCAAUCCCAUUGACCUCUCUACAGUGCAGAAUGUGCUUCCUGGGCUACUGGAAUGGAAUAAACCUCUUCUUACUCUGAGAUGCAUUUGGAUCUACAAAAGAGAAACAGCAUAGCGAACUGAACCACCUCCCUGAGGACUUGGGAAGGAAAAAGAGGCAUCCCAUCUCUGGCUCUCAUAGCAACGCUGGAGCUAUUUCACAUGUUUUUAGGUCAGAUUCAAACUAUGUAUUUUCUACCUGGGGUGACCCAACUUCCUUUCCUGUCCAUGUGAUACCGCCCUUACAAAAAGGCACUUUAUUUGCCUGGAUAUAGGAUCCUCUGAAGUGACUCCAGAAGCACAUGUACCUGCUGGCUGAGACCAGAUCUCCUCACAUUAAACAAAACAACAACAAAUAUGCUUUAGUAAGAUUUCAAGGCAUCUACCAGUAUGUCAGUACAGCCAAUGGACUGUCUAUAGAAGACAGACGCUGGCAGAAAACCGCUUUGAAGCUGCAGGAAUUUUCCUGAGUAGAUUGCCCAAUAUUUUAUGAAUUGCUAUUUGCCAGUUCUUUUUCCACAUGGUACACUAAAGCAAGAAAGGACUUACAAGGUAUGAAACCGCAGUAACUCUGGGUUAGCCUGCCUGUACUUGCCUACUCUCUGGUUUGUUAGAAUCUGCUACUGUAUCCAUUUUAUGAAGCUAGCAAUUAAAUCUCCUCUUGUGUGUUUCUUUGUGACUGCCUGCAUUUUCCUGAGAGCACAUGCAUGACAGCAUUAUUAAACUGCAUUGCAGCACACUUUAUUUCAAACAUAAAUGCAGCAGCAAUGAUAGAAUAGACUAUAAUAUAGAACCAUUUGUCUCAUUUCAUACCGACAAUAUGAAAGGACAGUUAAAACUCAGUGCCAAGUCUCCCCUACUCCUCUCUUUCUGGGGAAACAGAUGCCUUUCUUACCUGAGUUUUGUUUGCUCCAGGCUCUUGAGAAACAGAACUGAGCACAAGCAAGCAACAUGUGGGAUUUACAGGCAAUAUAAGAUGCAAGCCCAUCUAGAACAGUUUGGUUUAUCAUAACAAUUGUCAACUGAAUUAAAAAGCCAGUAAAAAGAACUAACAAAGUGGAAAGCAUAGAUGAGAAACUUU